CUAAAAAACAAAAGGGCAGGUAGAUUCCAGAUAAAUAAUGUUGCAGGAAGGGGGUGAUAAAAUACAGAAAUGUGAUACACAGCAAACCCUCAACUGCUGUUUCAUUGGCUCCCAGUGUCUUAAUCUGUGUCUGCUAACACUUUAAGGUACAUCUGAAAUACCCCCCAAACCCAGAAAGCUUUUCAACAGCUAGGUUGUCCAAGAACUUGGAAAAUUCACCUUCUGAUGUCCUCCAAGACAGCUACCAUUUUUUAUACACCUUAUUUGCUCAGACCU
rnacentral:lncRNA from 1 species